rnacentral:rRNA from 1 species
UACGGAAGGCAGCAGUGGGGAAUAUUGCACAAUGGGCGAAAGCCUGAUGCAGCUAUGCCGCGUGUAUGAAGAAGGCCUUAGGGUUGUAAAGUACUUUCAUCGGGGAGGAAAAAACAAAACUAAUAAUUUUAUUUCUUGACGUUACCCGAAAAAGAAGCACCGGCUAACUCCGUGCCAGCAGCCGCGGUAAUACGGAGGGUGCUAGCGUUAAUCAGAAUUACUGGGCGUAAAGAGCACGUAGGUGGUUUUUUAAGUCAGAUGUGAAUCCCUGGGCUUAACCUAGGAACUGCAUUUUGAAACUGAAAUACUAGAGUAUCGUAGAGGGAGGUAGAAUUCUAGGUGUAGCGGUGAAAUGCGUAGAUAUCUGGAGGAAUACCUGUGGCGAAAGCGGCCUCCUAAACGAAUACUGACACUGAGGUGCGAAAGCGUGGGGAGCAAACAGGGAUUAGAUACC